UUUAUUCAAUAUGACUUAGUUCAUUAUAUGUGUUUUUACUCUAAACACACGUGUGUUGCAACAGUAGCAAAAACCGUUUCUCCGUUAUUCAGAUGGUACUACUUUAUAAGACAAGAUCGCUAGCUGCUCAUGCUAGCUAUAGUAGCUAUCAGUUGAGCUCUCGGGCUGUAACAUGUACAGACGAGAUCAGAAGCUCCCUCGUGUCCCCAAACCUCCACGAUACACGUAAGAAAGCUGUAUAUUGUUAACGUGUUUCCCGUUUAUGUCGGCGGGUUGUAUCUGUGAAACUAGCUCUGUUUAUGUAACUCUGCUGCGGUCUCACGGCGGCAAUUUACUUCCGGGUUGAGCUCGGCGAGAAAGAGCGGAUAUCACGAGCUGACUCGCGUCCCAAACCUCCGCGAUACACGUAAGAAAGCUGUGUGUUGUUAACGUGUUAAUCGUUUUAAUUCGGCGGGUUGUAUCUGAAACUAGCUCUGUUUACAUAACUGACGCUGUCUUCCGGCGGCAUUUGACUUCCGGUUUGUGAUCGGCGAAGAAGAGCGGAUAUAACGAGCUGACUCGCGUCCCAAACCUUCGCGAUACACGUAAGAAAGCUGUGUGUUGUUCACGCGUUACCCGUUUAAAUUCGGCGGGUUGUAUCUGUGAAACUAGCUCUGUUUACGUAACUGCCGCUGUCUUCCGGCGGCAUUUGACUUCCGGUUUGAGAUCGCCGUAGAAGAGCGGAUAUAACGAGCUGACUCGCGUCCCAAACCUUCGUGUUACACGUGACACACAAUCAGGCUCCUGCUGUGGCAGUGGACACGGAGACGCCUUUAGACUGGACUACAUAUGAUGGAUGUGACCCAAAUAGAGCUACAGUCAGUGACACACAAUCAGGCUCCUGCUGUGGCAGUGGACACGGAGACGCCUUUAGACUGGACUACCUCUGAUGGAUGUGACCCAAAUAGAGCUACAG